rnacentral:rRNA from 1 species
UACGGGGGGGGCAAGCGUUGUUCGGAAUUACUGGGCGUAAAGGGCUCGUAGGUGGCCAACUAAGUCAGACGUGAAAUCCCUCGGCUUAACCGGGGAACUGCGUCUGAUACUGGAUGGCUUGAGUUCGGGAGAGGGAUGCGGAAUUCCAGGUGUAGCGGUGAAAUGCGUAGAUAUCUGGAGGAACACCGGUGGCGAAGGCGGCAUCCUGGACCGACACUGACACUGAGGAGCGAAAGCGUGGGGAGCGAAC